rnacentral:rRNA from 1 species
CCUACGGGUGGCAGCAGUGAGGAAUAUUGGUCAAUGGGCGGGAGCCUGAACCAGCCAAGCCGCGUGAAGGAAGAAGGCGCCAGGCGUCGUAAACUUCUUUUGUCGGGGAACAAAGGGCGCCACGCGUGGCGUUGUGAGUGUACCCGAAGAAAAAGCAUCGGCUAACUCCGUGCCAGCAGCCGCUGUAAUACGGAGGAUGCGAGCGUUAUCCGGAUUUAUUGGGUUUAAAGGGUGCGUAGGCGGUCCGGAAAGUCAGCGGUAAAAUUGCGGGGCUCAACCUCGCCGAGCCGUUGAAACUGCUCUUCUAGAGUGGGCGAGAAGUAUGCGGAAUGCGUGGUGUAGCGGUGAAAUGCAUAGAUAUCACGCAGAACUCCGAUUGCGAAGGCAGCAUACCGGCGCCCAACUGACGCUCAUGCACGAAAGCGUGGGUAUCGAACAGGAUUAGAUACCCGGGUAGUC